rnacentral:rRNA from 1 species
AGCGAACGCUGGCGGCGUGCUUAACACAUGCAAGUCGAUUGCGCGUCCGUAGCAAUACGGAUGGCGCACGGCGCACGGGUGAGUAACACGUGGGCAAUCUGCCCUCGGAUGGGGGAUAACUCGUCGAAAGGCGAGCUAAUACCGCAUGACAUUCCGAAGACUCCGGUCUUUGGAUUCAAAGGCCGCAAGGCCGUCUGAGGAGGAGCCCGCGCCCGAUUAGCUAGUUGGUGAGGUAACGGCUCACCAAGGCUUUGAUCGGUAGCCGGUCUGAGAGGAUGGCCGGCCACACUGGAACUGAGACACGGUCCAGACUCCUACGGGAGGCAGCAGUGGGGAAUAUUGCGCAAUGGGCGAAAGCCUGACGCAGCGACGCCGCGUGGGGGAUGAAGCUUCUCGGAGUGUAAACCCCUUUCGACCCGGACGAAUGACCCGCAAGGGUUUGACGGUACGGGUAUAAGAAGCCCCGGCUAACUACGUGCCAGCAGCCGCGGUAAUACGUAGGGGGCCAGCGUUGCUCGGAAUUACUGGGCGUAAAGGGUUCGUAGGUGGUGCGGUAAGUUGGAAGUGAAAUCUCUGGGCUUAACCCAGAGGCUGCUUUCAAAACUGUCGCGCUCGAGUGCGAGAGAGGUCAGUGGAAUUGCAGGUGUAGCGGUGAAAUGCGUAGAUAUCUGCAGGAACACCCGUGGCGAAGGCGGCUGACUGGAUCGCAACUGACACUGAGGAACGAAAGCUAGGGGAGCAAACAGGAUUAGAUACCCUGGUAGUCCUAGCCCUAAACCAUCGGAACUUGGGGUGGCCCGCGUAGGCGGGUCGUCCCGUAGCUAACGCGUUAAGUUCCGCGCCUGGGGAGUACGGUCGCAAGACUG